rnacentral:rRNA from 1 species
UGGGGAAUAUUGCACAAUGGGGGGAACCCUGAUGCAGCGACGCCGCGUGCGGGAUGACGGCCUUCGGGUUGUAAACCGCUUUCAGUAGGGAAGAAGCGAAAGUGACGGUACCUGCAGAAGAAGUACCGGCUAACUACGUGCCAGCAGCCGCGGUAAUACGUAGGGUACAAGCGUUGUCCGGAAUUAUUGGGCGUAAAGAGCUCGUAGGUGGUUGGUCACGUCUGCUGUGGAAACGAAACGCUUAACGUGGCGCGUGCAGGGGGUACGGGCGGACUAGAGUGCAGUAGGGGAGGCUGGAAUUCCUGGUGUAGCGGUGAAAUGCGCAGAUAUCAGGAGGAACACCGGUGGCGAAGGCGGGACUCUGGGCUGUAACUGACGCUGAGGAGCGAAAGCAUGGGGAGCGAACAGG